AAGGCAUUCUUGUUGAACUGCGAACGGUGUCUGCAUCUGAUCUUUGCCUCAGUUUGUUCUCCAGUUCAGUCUUAUAUGCAAAGCUGUUAAUCCGCCAUGUUAAAUAAAGGAUUGAUACUUGUUCUUGCAGCCGUCAUGUUCUUGGAUAUAACCGAAUCUAGAAGGCCUGAGCCACCCAACUGGCAAGCUUCUGCAGCAGGCAGACCCAUGUGUUUUAAAGGAAGAUGUAGAACGGGAAAAAGAACUGUCGAAAACCUUAACAUUCCCUCGGCUCAAGAUUCGAUAUUCGAUGACGAAUUACUGGCUAAAAGCCUCCAAUAACUGACGUUAAACAGGAUUUGUUAGAUAGAAAAAACGCAAUGGUAUUCCUUCAGACAACAAGAAGGGCGUCAGUUGGAACAAUCCGUGGCUGUGCAAGAUAUAGACGAAUCAAAACAAGUAUUCCCAAUAAAAUCUAAUCAGUUCUUGUAGUAAGAUUGGAGAUAUAUUUUAACCAAUUUAUCGCUUAUAUGAAAAUGUAUUUAUAUUCUUGAAACUGUUAAUAUCAAUGCCAAUAAAAUAUAAUCAGUAUCCUUGUCUUCAAAAACCGUCUGAAAUUGCUAUAAUGAGAACAAUAGACGGAUGUACUCUGAGUUGGUGAAUUAGCUUACAAUAUAUGUUUUCAGUUCAAAAGAAAAUAAUGGAUAUAAGCUAAAUGAGUUUGAACAAUGUAGAGCAAUAAAACUGACAGGUGCAGGA